CCUUUACUGGCCGCCGGGGGGCUCACGCCCCCGGGCCCGCGCCCGCCGAAGACACCACCGAACUCUGUCUGAAGAUUGAAGUCUGAGUGAAAAUAUAAAUUAUUUAAAACUUUCAACAACGGAUCUCUUGGUUCCGGCAUCGAUGAAGAACGCAGCGAAAUGCGAUACGUAAUGUGAAUUGCAAAUUCAGUGAAUCAUCGAGUCUUUGAACGCACAUUGCGCCCCCUGGUAUUCCGGGGGGCAUGCCUGUCCGAGCGUCAUUGCUGCCCUCAAGCUCGGCUUGUGUGUUGGGCCCCGUCCUCCGAUUCCGGGGGACGGGCCCGAAAGGCAGCGGCGGCACCGCGUCCGGUCCUCGAGCGUAUGGGGCUUUGUCACCCGCUCUGUAGGCCCGGCCGGCGCUUGCCGAUCAACCCAAAUUUUUAUCCAGGUUGACCUCGGAUCAGGUAGGGAUACCCGCUGAACUUAAGCAUAU
rnacentral:rRNA from 1 species